GCUCUCCUGCCGUGUUCGACGGUUGCCGGGUACCCCUUGAGCCUAAUUACGAAACCCGGGGUCAUGAAGCAUCGUUGGUGAGCAUGUCCGCCUCGUAGCGGAAAGCCUAAGGCGACGUGGUUGGCCCCACUUGAGCGUUUGUCUCAAGGUCACAGGCCACCGACGGCACAGGCGGGAGAUGC
rnacentral:other from 1 species